GGACUGUGGUCGCCCGACGCAUGGCUGGUUUCUUUUUUGUCUUUUUGAAUGUGCUCCUUGCUGAAUUGGGCCUGGUGGGCCUGUAGGGGAUUGGGAUGUGGCUUUGUUCAUGGUUUCCUUCUUGUUCUGUCCUGGCUGGGUUUUGCGUUCUCUGUUCUAGUGUCCGGCGUGCCUUGUCUUGUGUGGAUUUGGCGGGGCCCUUUGAGUGGCCAUGCUGUCUGCCUGCGUUGGGGAUGUGUUGGAUUUCCUCCUGUGGACUCCUCUGGUUCAUGCGGUACAAAUGUGCCCUCCUGGGGAGGGCCCUGAAGGCGGAUUUUUUGGUCGACACUGGGUUGGGGGACCGAUUCGGUAGAUCGGAA
rnacentral:lncRNA from 1 species